rnacentral:lncRNA from 1 species
GUAGGCAGCAAACAAGGAAGAGUUUGCAAACUACAUCUCGAAGGACGUUUUGUUUGUGUGUUGUCGUUUCUUGCGUUCCAUCUGGGAGGCUCUGUUGAUGUGUAUGGCUACCUGUAAGAGAGCACUGAUGAAGAAUGGAGAAGAUGUAAAAUAGAGCUCGCCAAAGGUUUUAAAAAUAAAUCAAGAGCUUCCGGUGUUAAUGUAGAACAACACUUCCCUUCUGAAAGUCCAGAGCCAGAGCCCCUAAAAAGAACACUGCCCAGGACUGUAAAGGAUAUGAAAAAGGAACCACAUCACCAUGAGAGUGUGGAGGGGGAACACUUACUCCCUGCAAAGCUGUUUUCAAGACAGGCUACUUGUGUCAUGUAGGGUGGAAAGAAAUGAGUGAAUGAAGGCAGAAGCGCCCAGAAAGAAGGUCAGGGUAGGCAGAUGAGCAAUCAGAAAAGUUCUCUAUUUCCGAGACUUUUUCCAAGUUGGGACCAUAUGUCUGAGGUUAUCUCAGUGCUAUAUAUUUAGACUACCAGAAGGUAGUUUGCAGGAACUACUCCAGGAAAUAACUGCUUCACGUCUCAGGCCUUUGCGGAGAAGAAAGCUGAACACACAAUCUAGAGAAUGCUGCCCCACUGCUGACAAUGCCAAGACCCCCUUGUGCUUCCUGGAAUAUGGACAUGAUAUGUCAAACACCAUCGUGGAAUGUCAAAUGGGAGCCACACCUUAGUAAGGGGGAAACUGAAUAUUGUGUCACUGAUAAGUUGAACAAAUAACUAAUUUAUACACUGUUUUCUUUGGUUUAAUGAAAGAGUAACCUUUCACCUAAUACAUAUGGUAGUGUUAUGGGCUUCCUAUAUUAAUCUGGCUGAAAGACCCCUUUUUUUAAUCAAAGAGAUUUUUUACCUGAACACUUAGAUUUGGAGCUUGUCUUGCAAGAAAUGAGUAAUUCUAGCAACAUUGAGUACAUGUUUUCAGGUAGCCCAAAUACUGCAAAGGCAAGGUGCACCAAAUGCAUCUGAAAAUGGCAGGAGUUUCCAGGUUACCACAGUCCCCACCAUCUUUAAUGUCUUCUCCUUGCCUGAGUCCACUCACUUCACUUACCCUAUCUGGGACCCUGGGAUAAAGAACUGUGCACAAUGUAAGACUGCCAGUUUGCUCUCUUUCAGAUAAAACCUGCCCCUUGCACUCCAGUAAACAUUGUUAUGAUUCAAAAUGCAAUUCCCCAUUCUCUGAAAUACCAGAGUUUUCAAUGAGAUUUCUGGAAAUUCCUAAUGGCAUCUAGGUUUUCUCGAGGUAUCGUGUCAGUUCUUUGCAUGUUGAAACAGACAUUCAUACCAGUCACAUAAGCAUAGUCCUCUCCACAACAGUCUUGAUAAGGUAUGAGGAACUUAUCUGUAAGCAUUUAUUUGUAAUUAUACUUGAAAGUUCUUCCUUAUCUUUCUUGAUACCCCAACCAUAGAAGUUUCUUAUUCUCAGUAUAUUCUGUCUCUCUGAACUUCUUCUUUUUUUCUUCUUUUCUUACCUGCUUUUCCCCUCUGUUAAAGAAACAUAUAGACACAGUUUGCCCAUACAGAAUACGUCUUCUGUCCUCUUGCAAUGCCCCUGGCGAUCUCAGAAAAUCAUUGUCUGUUUCCAAAUAUUGUCAUGAGAUUUAAGAAGGGUUUGACUAUCUGCUGAAGGAACCCACCUAUGGAGGGAUCUAAGUUGGUAAAGUUGUUCAAACAGUGCAUGACCACAUGCUGGAAGCCACAAAUGACUCCUUUUUGCCCAUGCUAUUUGUUGAGAGGAAAAUCACAGGACAGCUGAGGGAGAUGUAUGUCCUAAAAGAAUGUUAUGUAAGACAGUUUGAAG